rnacentral:misc_RNA from 1 species
GCAGCAUUCCGAGCUCCGCGAUCUCCUCCAGAAACAGGGGCGUCAAUGGCGGAGCAGCCAGCGGCAGAGGCUGCAGAGUGAAUUUCAACAGCCAGGGAAGGUUCGGAAGUAGUCAUAUCUAUGAUGACGCCGCCUUGACGCAGACCGGAAAGAGCGCCGGAGUUUGGGUCGAGGAUUACCUGGCGAACGUCAGAAGGGUAGCCAACGAUAGAGAAAACGACGUCGGAUUGAGAAGCGACGGCCUUUGGAGUGUCAACCCAGUGGGCUCCCAUGGAGAUAAGUUCCUGAGCCUUGGAUGGAGUCCGAGUGAAGACAGUGAGGGUGUAUCCGGCGUUAAUCAGGUGGGCGCACAUAGAGCGGCCCAUUACUCCGGUACCGAUCCAUCCCAGACGAGUAUUGGAUGGGUCAACGGCUGUUGCCAUAGUACGGCAGAGAUGGGUG